AUUCAGACCUUAGUUAUCAAGAGGUUUUAUUAUAGAACCACUAGUAACUCAUAGACUCUUCCUGUUAUGUGAAAUAAAUGAAGACCAGCCAACUAAGAAAGGCAAAGGCUAUGUAUUCUGAGCUCAUCUGGAUCAGAGGAGUCAGCACUGUCAUUUGUGUUUGGCAGAGACUGAAAGGCAGAUGUUCGUCUGAAGAUUUCAAAGCCCACUGCUGAUUUAAGGUCAUUCACAUUCAGCCAUGAAGCUGCUCUGAAGACACAGGAACUGCAUAGCUCCCUACUGGGAAUGUCAAGGGCUGUGAAAGGUCUAAGGUUUUAUCCUACUUGCAACCAACAAGCUAUGCAGCCACAGUUUUAUGGAUGCUGUCAAAAGACAUGACACUCCUGGAAAUAUCAGAGAUGCUUACGUAGAAUUUGGAAAACUUUAAUUUUCACCAAAUACUCAUGUGCUUUGGGCUUACAGCAUAUGAAUUUUGGCAGAAGAGAAGUGAACCAGAAUAGAAGGAGGAGGGGAUAUUUAAUAAGAGAUUACAAAAAUGCUUUCUCUGGGUAAGAGAUGUGGUCUUCAUUUAAUGUUCAACUUAAAAAAAUAAAAAUUAUACCAUGGAAAAUGUGUGAUUUACAAGAUAUGUUAACAAGUAAUAAAACCUAAUAAGUGGAUUUGUAUUUUUUUAAGAGCAUAAAAAUAUCAGUUUGGCUAUUCAAAUGCAUUAGGCUGUUAUUUAGGUCCUCUUUUUCUUUAUGUGCCCAGUACUUUCAUCUUUAGACCUUACUAAUGCUAGAUGUCUUCUUGUCUUACUUGAUAGUUUUAUAUUAUAUUUUAUUCAGCCUAGUGAUGGGAAGAAUACGUUUACAAUAUGUUUACAUUGCACAUUAGUUUCUUGUCAUAUUUCCAGAGAUUGGAUAAUAACUGAUAACAAGAGACAGGGAGGUUUUCAGGAUUUUAAGUCCUUUUUUCUAGGACUUGCUUCUUUUUGAUAAAGCAGUCUCUACACUGGGUCUUUAUAUAGAGUACUUUUCUCUCUGUCCAUAAAUAGACUUGGUUAUAGGAGAAAUGGCGGAACAGUUUGAGAGUAUGGAGUUUCAAAGCAGAGCUCAUUAUUGAUGUUAAUAAUUUAUUAAUUUAUUAAACGUGGCAUGUGGAGUGCUGUUCUAAAUGCUUUCAUGCAUCGAUGCAUGAGGGUGCUGUGUGCAGUGAUGCCGGGUCACAUUGCCAGGAUCAUCCUCAAGGACUGAAUGACCCAUUUGCAGGAGUGUCAGGACAGUGGAUGCUGACUGAUCACAGCAAAGUCUGUCUCCAGGAAUAACCCCUGGCCGAGCAAGCAGCCUCACUCCCACUGGAGGCAUCCUUGAAGGGUCACGGGCCAGCACAGUUCCAGAAGUCCCCCUACAUUAGUAUUUAUAUUGUGUGAUUAAUUCAGCUACUUAUGUUGCAUUUAUAUUUAUGUUUUUUGAUUAUUGCUGUGUCUAUGUGUUUAUGUUUUUUGACUAUAAUAUUUAUGCUGUUUGUUUAAUUCUGUAUCAAUUAAAAAAAGGAAUGAAUUAAUGGCAUUCGCAGCAACCUGGAUGAGAUUGGAGGCUAUUAUAAAUGAAGUAACUCAUGAAAAGAAAACCAAACAUCAUAUAUUCUCACUCAUAAGUGGGAGCUAAGCUAUGAGAUGCAAAGGCAUAUGACUGACACAAUGGGCUUUGAGGACUCAAGGGAAAAGAGUAGGAAGGGAGUGAGGGAUAAAAUACUACAAAUUGUGUGCAGUGUAUACUGCUCAGGUGAUGGGUGCACCAAAAUCUCACAAACCACCACUAAAGAACUUGCUCAUGUAACCAAACACCAGCUGUUUCCCAAUAACCUAUGGAAAUAAAAAAAUUAAAAGAUUUAAUGAAAAAUAAGUCUAGAAGAAGUUCUUAACCCUUAGAGUCUUGUGGUCACAGACAUUUAGAUCCAUAUUUUUAUAUCAGCAAAAUAAUAUGGUGAUGAGCAAAGCACUUUGAAGCAUAGAAACAUUUACAUUAACAUAAAAUUAUAUGGAAGAAAUGGAAUAAUGUUUAUAUUCAAGGAGAAGAAAAUGAUGUAGAAAUGCC
rnacentral:lncRNA from 1 species